UACGAAGGGUGCAAGCGUUACUCGGAAUUACUGGGCGUAAAGCGUGCGUAGGCGGUUUGUUAAGUCCGCUGUGAAAGCCCUGGGCUCAACCUGGGAAUUGCAGUGGAUACUGGCAAGCUAGAGUGCGGUAGAGGAUGGUGGAAUUCCCGGUGUAGCGGUGAAAUGCGUAGAUAUCGGAAGGAACACCAGUGGCGAAAGCGGCUUCCUGGUCCAGCACCGACGUUCAGGCACGAAAGCGUGGGGAGCAAACAGG
rnacentral:rRNA from 1 species